rnacentral:misc_RNA from 1 species
GAUGAAGAACGCAGCGAAAUGCGAUAAUUAAUGUGAAUUGCAGAAUUCCGUGAAUCAUCGAGUCUUUGAACGCACAUUGCGCCUCAUGGCAUUCCGUGAGGCAUGCCCAUCUCAGCGUUAGAAAAUAUUCUCAAAUUUUAGUUUUGUGCUAAAAUUUGGAUCAUGUCAAGGAAGCUAUUACUAUUAUUGUGAUCGCUCUUUGGAAAUUGAUAGGUCUUUGAGUUGCUACUCAUAGAACGUGAUGAAUCUUUCUUCGUUCUAUUGUAAUUCACUCUGGUAGUCCUAAAACUUGUAUGCCUGUGGCAUAUCUUGUAAUUUGACCUGAGAUUGGGUAGGGAUACCCGCUGAACUUAAGCAUAUCAAUAAGCGGAGA